UCACGUGACGCCAGAACGCGGCGGCGGCGGGGUUUCCUGCCUCGGAGGCCACGUGACCGAAGGAGGCUCGCGACUUGAGGAGGAUGAGGCGGGGAAUUAGGCGGGGGGGGGUGGAGUGCGGAAGAGAAAGCCAGUGGUGGUGGUGGACGUCGUGGGGUCGCCACGUGGGGUGGGUGUGUUUCCCCCACAACAAGAGUUGGCGGCUCUUUGCUGGGCGCACGUCGUCGUCGUUGUUGUUUCCCUCUCCCACCUCAGAGAUCCCCCCCCCCGCGAUGGUUUCCUCCUCCCCUCAGCCCGCCCUCCUCCUCAUUCCCCCGCAGCCGCGAGAGGGUUAACAGCGCGGCAGACCUUCAAGACUCCGAGGCAAGGGAGCGCGAGCUCCUGUUUGGCAGCAAGAGGCUGUGCGCAUGCGUGCGGGAUUCGUGAGGUGCCGCUGUAGCCGCCAGUUCGGUUUGGCUGAACCGGCGUGAGGCGCAGCGCGCGGCAGCUGAGUCGGCCGGUGGCGGGGAGAAGAAGGGGGCCCUCGCCCGGUUAGCUGGAGCCCCACCCCUACUAAAAAUCUGCUCCAGAUGGUUCCCCAACCCUCCCAAGGAGAUUUGGUGGAUGUGCAGAAGGCGGCAGGGAGGAGGAAAGGAACCUGAAGUCCUGUUAUGCAAGUAGAAGUUCAUUCCACUAGCAACUGGGCACAAUUGCAUAUCUUCAUUUUUACAUAGGUUUGCAUCUCCAGCAAAUAUGUAAAAAUCUAGUAUUAUUUUAUAACAUGUCAAACAUUUCCAUAGGUUAUACUAUACAUCUGAUAAAUUCAUGGCAGAGUGUAGUAUCAUUGUGCAAACUUAAAAAAAUUAAAAUAUUUAUUGCUUCUUGCUUUAAGAACUUGUGAUUGAGCUUGCUUUUCCCUCCUCCCUGCCAUUUCUUUUCCCCUGUAUGUUGUGUCUUUUUAGAUUGUGAGCCUGAGACUAUCUUUCUGUAAACCACUCUUAUAGCCUUUUUGGCUAAAGGAAUGAGUAUAAAUGCCCAAUGUAUUUAUUCAUGCAUAUAUUAAUAAAAUUCAACAAAAUUGUGUUGCUUAUCUGCA